CCCGGCUUCACAUGUAUGUUCUUAAGACUGGAAGAACACCCUGUGAAGAGGAAGGCAGAGAUUGGAAUGAUGCAGAAGAAGCCAGCGAAUCUAGGAGAGAGGCAUGAAUUUCCCCUUCAUAGUCCUUGUAAGGAGCCAACCCUGCUGCACCUUUAUCUCAAAUGUCCAGCUUCCAGAACUGCAAGACAGUAAAUUUCUGCUGUUUAAGACAUUCAGUUUUUGGUACUUUGUUAAAGCAGCCAUAGCAAACUAAUAUAUCCUUUAUAUCUCCUUUUUCUGUUGGGGUGAGUGGCAUUUGGGAAGGCAUAAGAACUGUAAGAAAGAUAUGGUAAUGAUAUCUACUUCAGAGAGUUAUUAAGAAAAUUAAAUAUGUUAAGGCAGCGGUCUCCAACAUUUUCGGCACCAGGGACUGGUUUAGUGGAAUAAAAUUUCUCCACAGACUGGCAUGGGGGGGUUGGUUUCCAAAUGAUUCAGUGCAUUACACUUAUUGUGCAUUUUAUUAUUAUUAUUAUACUGUAAUAUAUAGUGAAAUAAUUAUACAACUCACCAUAAUGUAGAAUCGAUGGGAUCCCUGAGCUUGUUUUCAUGCAACUAGACAGUCCCAUCUGGGGAUGAUGGAAGACAGUGACAGCUCAUCAGGUAUUAGAUUCUCAUAAGGAGAGCACAACCUAGAGCUCUUGCAUGUGCAGUUCACAAAACAUUUUGAGUUCCUAUAAGAAUCCAAUGCUGCCACUGAUCUGACUGGAGGUGGAGGUCGGAAGGUAACGCAAGUGGAGUUCAAAUGGUAAUGCAAGCGGUGGGGAGCGGUUGUACAAGUGAAGCUUCCCUAGCUCAAUCUCUGCUCACCUCCUGCUGUGAGGCCUAGUUCCUAGUAAGCCACUGACCAGCACCAGUCUGUGGCUUGGGGGAUGGGGACCCCUGAGUUAAGCAUAUAAAGUGCUUAGGAAAGUGCGUGGAGCAUAGUACUCAAUGUGUCUUACUUGUUAUUACCAUCCUUUUUCCAUUGAGCAAGCUACAUGGUAUUUUUGGAUGUAAAAGCAGAGGAUUAGACAAAAU
rnacentral:lncRNA from 1 species